rnacentral:misc_RNA from 1 species
GGACAGUUGUUGAAAUUUAUCCACUAUACUAAUAGCAGAUUUGUUGUCGCAAAACAAAGACAAAUUGUUUGUUUCUAAUAAUCGCAUUUUCUCCAUCAAUUCCCGCAACCACAAUAGCUCAUACAUAUCCUGUGCUAUGGCUCUAUAUUCUGCCUCUAUAGAAGAUCUUGCUGUCACAUUCUGCUUCUUACUUCUUUAGGUAACUAGAUUAUCACCAAUAAAAGUACAAUAUCCUGAUGUUGAUCUUUUAUCAUUAAGAGAUCCAGCCCAAUCUGCAUCUAUAAAGGCUUUUAUUUGGAGAUAAACCAUUCUUUGAAAAAAGAGGUCUCUUUCCUGGUGCAGAUUUUAAAUACCUUAAGAUGUAGAAGGCAGCCUCUAAGCAAGGUUUUCGAGGAUCAUGCAUGUACUGGCUCACUAAACUUACAGCAUAUGCUAUGUCUGGUCUAGUAUGAGAGAGAGAAAUCAAUCUCCCAACUAACCUCUAAUAUCUCCCUAAGUUAACUGAUUCCCCAACUCUUACUUGCUAUCUAUAAUUAGUUUCAAUAAGCGAUUUUGCAGGUUUAUAGCUCAACAUUCUUGUUUCUUUUAAGAGGUUUAAAAUAUAAUUCCUUUGAGAAAUAAUAAUUCCUUUAUCUAAUCGAGCAACCUCUAUCCCAAGGAACUAUCUUAAUAUACUCAAAUCUUUAAUCUCAAACUCUUGAGCCAAGAGUUUCUUCAGAUGAGUAAUUUCCUCCUUAUCAUCUUUUGUUACAACUAUGUCAUCAACAUAAAUAAUAAGCAAGGUGAUCUUACCUCUACAGUG